GAGGAUAAGAAGAUAGCAUGGACUGAAGUGGCAGAAGCUGUAACAAGUGCCUUCCCUGGGAGUGGACCCCGUACGCAGGAUGACUGUGAGAGGCGUUGGUACAACGUACAACAAAAAUCAAAGCCUCGCAUUGCCAAGUGCAAGAAUGAGCAGCGGCAGACUGCCCCGCUGCUGUAUUGCUAGAGACCAUCCCAACACAUUGUUCAUUACUUGUGGAAAAGAUACCAUCAGCUGCUCCGGCAACAGCCACUGCUUCAUCAUCUGCUGGCCCUAUGACACCUGCCACUGCUUCAUCAUCUGCUGGCCCAAUGACACCUGCCACUGCAAGGGAUGACAAUGAAGCUGCUCCACCACAGUCACCACCUACUUCAUCGGAGUUAAGAGAUGCCUUUCAUAGGGCAGCAGUAUAAUUUUUUGAUGCUGGGGCUGAAUAUUACUGCCUCAAGGCUAUGAUUUUGUCACUUUUUCUUAUUACUGAGGAGGUUAGGGUGGAAG